AACGAACGCUGGCGGCGUGGAUUAGGCAUGCAAGUCGAACGCGAAAGAGGGGGUAACUCCUCGAGUAGAGUGGCGAACGGGUGAGUAACACGUGAGAAACCUGCCUUCAGCAGGGGGAUAACACUCCCAACGGGGUGCUAAUACCGCAUGAGACCACGGAUUCGCAUGGAUCUGGGGUCAAAGGUGGCCUCUGCUUGCAAGCUACCGGCUGAAGAUGGUCUCGCGCCCAUUAGCUAGUUGGUGGGGUAAUGGCCCACCAAGGCGACGAUGGGUAGCUGGUCUGAGAGGAUGGUCAGCCACACUGGGACUGAGAUA
rnacentral:rRNA from 1 species